AUGAGGCACACAGCCACUUCUCGUCAGGAGCUGGUUGAAAACUGUGCUGUGCCUGUAGCAGGAAUGGCACAAGAUGAUAGCCGUCAUGGGCAAGUGCCAUCCAGCUUUCAUCAUGGUGCCACAAGGAACUUGACCUGUCCACCAAAGUGUAACAAAGGGAACCAGGAAGUCCUUAUUCUGUGUUUGUGGACACCAAGAUGAGCAAACUACAUCUCCAUGAAACAGAAGAACAGCCACAUUUCAGGGAGACAGGAGCAGAGUCUGAUGUGCAUGCUAUUAAGGAAGACCAGGAGAAUUCUGAUGACACAGAAGAGGAGGAGGAAGAAGAGGAAGAAGUCUUUUACAAAAGGGAGCAGAUCAUAGUGGAGGUAAACCUUAAUAAUCAAACAUUAAAUGUACCUAAAGGGGAAAAGGGUACCUCUUCUCAAUCCAAAGAGACUCCUGUUCUUAAACAAUGAGGAGGAAGAGAGAGAGGAAGGGGCCACAGAUAACAGCAAUGACUAUGGAGAGAAUGAUAAGCAGAAGAAAAAGGAGAAGAUAACAGAGAAAGUCAGCGUUACAGAAAGAAGAAUGAGGAGAGCUGCCUCUGUUGCUGCAGCUACCACUUCCCCUACUCCCAGAACUACAAGAGGUUGCAGGAAGAGUGCAGAGCCACCUAAGCGUAAGAAGCGGGAAACAAAGGAGCCUGAAGCACCAGUGCAGAAAGCUAAGUUGCCCCAGGGUAUUUAAUGCUCACUGGUGUCUGGAGAAGCAAAUGAAUAUUACUCAUAGGCACAUGCAGAUUUGUGAUAAAUGUGGCAAUAAGUUUGUCCUGGAAAGUGAGCUAUAUCUUCACCGGCAAACAGACUGUGAAAAAAACAUUUAGUUUGUUGCCUGUAAUAAAUCGUUCAAGAAACUGGAUCCUUCAUGAACAUAUCAAGAUCGUCCAUGGAUAUGAAGAAAAGAAAUUUUCCUGUGAAAUUUGUGAGAAAAAAUUCUAUGCCAUGGCUCAUGUGCGAAAACACAUGGUUGCACACAUGAAAGACAUGCCAUUUACAUGUGAAACCUGUGGAAAAUCAUUCAAAUGCAGUAUGUCACUCAUGGGGCACUCCCUGCAGCAUUCUGGAGAGAAGUCCUUCAGAUGCGAGAACUGUGACGAAAGGUUUCAGUACAAUUACCAGCUACACACCCACAUGAGCAUCCACGUUGGGCACAAACAGUUCAUGUGCCAGUGGUGUGGCAAGGAUUUCAACACGAAGCAGUAUUUUCAUGAACACAUGAAAACAAACACUGGAGAGAAACCCUUUAUCUGUGAAAUCUGUGGCAAAAG
rnacentral:lncRNA from 1 species